rnacentral:rRNA from 1 species
ACCCUUUGACUUUGGGGUAUAGUAAAUGCUUUUGUCUUUUUAAUACAUGCUAGUAAAUUGCGAACAGGUGAGUUAGCCCGCUUUGCGAAGCGGUUUAUUACCAGGAUUAUGUUUACCUGAUUAGUAAAAAUUCCUACGACAAUAAGAUUUAUCCACAUCUUCACUGAAACAACGGAAGACAAUAAGCAGCAGUAUAGAAUAUUGUACAAUCGAUUAUUAUCAGAUACAGAAAGACAAUAAGAGUUGUCAAAUCAGGUGCCAGCAGACGCGGUUAUACCUGAGACUCGAGUUUUACAAAAUAAAAAGGCUUAAAGAGUGUGUAAGGCAUGAUUAUUUUUUGAAAACAUAAAAUUUUUAAUACAGAGAUCAAAUUCAACAAGAUAAAAUAGAAUUUCGUUUUGUAAAAAUGUUUUUAGAGCUAAAACACUAAAUAAUAGAUAGCCAAUGGGAUUAGAUACCCCAGUAACCUAUUACCUAAAUCUAGAUUUGUUUCUAAAACAAUAUUCCGCCUGAGUAGUAUAAUCAAUUGAUUGAAAUUCAAAAAGUCUGGCUGUUUGUUUUCCAAUCAGAGGAUUGUGUAGUUUAAUUUGAUAAUCCGCAUAAUACCUUACCUUUCUUAGAUAAUCAGGUGCUGCAUGGUCGUCCUCAGCUUAUAUUUAAUAUGUUAAUAAUCUUAACCUCCAAAAGCUGAAGUCAGGUAGUAUGGCCCUAAUAGAAAGGGAUUUAUGCAAUACAAUUUUCUUAGAAAAAAUCAAGUAAACGGAAGGGAUUUGCAAAUUCCUAGAAGUUGAAUUUGACAGUAAUCGAAGACAAUAAAGCUCCGAUGAAUAGGUUCAAGCAUUAGUACAAAUUGCCCGUCACCUUUAACAACUUAUCUUUUCAUUAAUUUAGAAGUUAAAGCAAGUCGUAACAUAGUGAGGGAAAGGGAACUUUUCCUUGAAACAAAUUUGUUUUUAUG